ensembl:lncRNA
CCAAAGGCUCCAGGGAUGCAGGGAAGCAAACAGAGCUAAGUUGAGAAGGGGACGUAUCAGCAGGAAAAAACAUGAGACAGAAAGACCUGCUCUCAUUACACAGAUGGUCCCUCAAGAUAAUGCUUAACAAUGCACUGAGUGAAACGUCUCGUGCCAACCCCUGUUCUUUCCCCCUGGACCAUCACGGCCAUCCUGACAGCAAAUCAUUUGUGUUGGUUUCUCCUGGGAACCUCCAAGGCUUCUUGAUGGAAAAAUGGAGUAGAAGAAACUGUACCUUUAAAUUCUCUUCCAUUUUAUACCAUUCUGCACCUUGCUUUUCCAGUUAAUAAGUGUUUCAUAUUAGUGCUUAGAGAUCUUCCCUGUUUGCCCCCUAUGCCUCCAAAGUCACAUUGUGUCAACAUGGACAGUCAUCUACCUGGUCUGUAUUUCUGCUGUUUCUAAC